rnacentral:rRNA from 1 species
GACGAACCGAGCGAACGUUAUUCGGAAUCACUGGGCUUAAAGGGCGCGUAGGCGGGCGGCCAAGUCAGGGGUGAAAGCCCCCAGCUCAACUGGGGAAGUGCCUUUGAUACUGGUCAUCUCGAGGGAGAUAGGGGCGUGCGGAACUUCCGGUGGAGCGGUGAAAUGCGUAGAUAUCGGAAGGAACACCGGUGGCGAAAGCGGCGCGCUGGAUCUCUUCUGACGCUGAGGCGCGAAAGCCAGGGGAGCGGAACGGG